GUGCUCUCGUGCCGCAGGCAAAUGGGGCAGCUCACGCAGGUUUAAAUCUAGCACUCGUCACCACCUCAGGAGACCCUGCUUUGAGCGGGACUGGAACCGAGGCUGCUACAGACCCAUUCUCAUCUCUCUGGGAUCUGGCCCCUUACGGCUGCCAGGCCGCCGAGGAGGACUUGUUGACCCAGUACGCGCCUCCGCAGCUUCCCUGCCUCCUCUUUGCGGCUCCCUUUUCCCUCCACCGGCUGUGGGCCCCCGGCCCACGCCGACCCCCACCCACCGCACUGAGCACGUACGCAGCGGAGCCGAGCUGAGCGCCGGAAGCUCGAGCCGGCGGGUGGCGCGCGGUUCGUCUUUCCCGUUGCUGCCGCUGCGGAUGCUGCUCAAUUAACUGGAUGGGUAAGUUUGAAAAACAAAUUUCCGCUUUGAAAAGCUUUUCACUAUUUCCAUUCUCGGGGUUCUUCAGUUCCUCAAGGGCCUAAAAGCUAAAGACGACCAAGUAAUUUACAAGUCCCAGGAGAGCGUCCUGGUGAAUGUCUGACCCUGUUCUCGGCGUGGGGACAUUAGAACGACCAUCGACCCGACCCCUGCCGUCGUGGAACCUCCCUGCCGGGCAGAGGAACCCGAAGGAAGUGGAAGCACCGCACCAGCCUCGAAGGCUUUUCGUCUUCACUUUGUUCCCAAUGCUGAAGGCCCCCCUGAAGGUGGCUGUGGUCACACCGAGUCUCACCACCAGCCUAUUCGGGAGACUCCAAGGCAGCCCACCCAAGAAUCACUCAAAACGCCAGAUUUCACUGGAGCUUGUUGGCCGCGGGCCUCCUGUCAGUGGCUUUAAAGCAGCGCAGGCAGGAGCCCGAGGGACCCCCCUUCGCCCAGAGGCCACCAAAGAGACUCCGCUCUGCCGGGAGGGCCGCGGGGCAGCGCAGAGCCAACGGGCUGGCGGAGGAAGAGCGCGCACCCGACGUCUGCCCCGGGGCCCCUCGUCCUGGAGGCGGACACCCUGCCUUCGGUGCGGUUCCCGAGGCCAGGCUGCUGAGGGCGCCAGGGUUCCGUCCUCCGGGGCGGGGCGGCACGGGGUCCUUUGCCAGGGCCGCUUCGGGGGCGCGGCUGUUUCCAGGGCCUUGGGCGGUUCAGGCGAAGUCGGCGGGCCGGAUAGUUGUGGCCGAAAUGCCGCUUUUGGGGGUUAGAGCCGGAGGCCCGGCUGCCUGCCUCGUUUCCGUAGUGUAGUGGUUAUCACGUUCGCCUCACACGCGAAAGGUCCCCGGUUCGAAACCGGGCGGAAACAGCUUCCUUUUACCACUACCCCCCCACCGCCACCCCCCCCCCCCCCAUCUAUUGUCCUUUAAAACGCAAAAAGAACCACGGCCGGAGUCCCACCGCCACCUGAAAGCCUUCUCAGCACUCGACCACCAGGCCUGGCCGCUGUGUGUCUGCUCCCAGUCACCUUGGAGAGCGGGCCACACCCAGUUAGUCACUCCAACAAGGGCACGCAGGACGAGGCCCACUGCAGGUUACCUUUACUUCCACGCAUCCGCUGACCUGCUCAUCUGGCGCCUCCGUCUGCCCGACGGGCUCACAGCGACUGUGGCUCUGAAAAGCAGCACGUUCUUCCCUGGGCGGCACACUUGCGCAACAGGUGUAUUUAUUUGCCUGACAGAACGCAAAGAACACAAACCAGCUGCACCUGGGACCCGGGCCAAAGACACGUAGGUGAGGAGUUUCAGGCUCCACCUAAUGAGCCCAUGGGGACACCAAAGGAGCCUGUCCCCGUGCCGUCAUCAGGACAGCUCUGGAGCUACUUCGGAAGUCGCCAAGUAGAGGGACUCCGCCCCUCCCCCCGCUGAGAGCCGAGUCCUCACCUUACCCAUCAGGAAAGUAGGCUCAGAAAGAGAGCACGGCCUUGGCUCUGCAACACACACGGCUCCAGCUGGACUAGAGUGUGGCACAGGCCAGUCACCUUGUGGUCAGGGCCCAAGGGGUCGCUGAGGCUGGAAGAGGUGGUGAGCAGCAGGGCAAGGGCUGGGAGCCUUGUGCGGCUGCAUUCAGACCCGCGCCGCUGGGAAUCGCCUCCGCUUGUGCUCUGUCCGCCUGGGAAAUGUCACCUUGACUUUCAGGGUUUUCAUCUGCAGGGGCCGAAGCAGGGAUCCUGUGUGGGUGGAUUCCCCGGGAUCGGAUCGGUGGGAUGGGAUUUGGAUUUUUCACCGCUACUGCUCAGGUUCGAUUCCAAUCCAGGAGGCUUUGUGGCGCUGUCUCCCUACUUAGGAUUUGCCUUUUCAUCCCCCAAAGUCUGGUGUGCACCCAGGGACGCUUGCAGAAGUGGCUGUGCACUGAGCCCCUAAAAUACGGGAGGUCAGGAGUCCGGGUCCUUGUAAUGGCCAGGCUGGGAGAGAAGAGCUGGGAUGAGAAGCCAGGCCAGCGGCUCCCUUCCAUUCACCUCAGAAACCCAAGGUCUCACUUCAAGCGUUUUCCUCUAAAGAGAACCUGGGACUUGACUUUGUCACUCCUUUCAAACAAACAAACAAACAAACAAACAAACAAACAAACUUUGAAACAUACCAAAACAGUUGCCAGAAUGGUCACAUCCUAUAUCCCUCACCCAGGUGCACCAGUUAACAUUUCCCCACAUUUGCUUUCUCAUUCUCGCUCCACAUGUACAGACAGGACUUGUGCAGUCAUCUCCAGAUGAUUGUUUGGUCUGCGGUUGCUCCUUUGCCUUGGGCAGUGUCCCGCAAAACCAGCCUCUGCAGGACCUUUCCUCCAGGGCCAGGAGAGGGCUUUGUCCUCUGGAGGAGAGCCCUCCUGUUCCUUCAGGAAGCAGACACCUGUUCCCUUCAGGCUGUAGAGAAGCUUCAGGCGGGCAGGCGGUUCUUCGGCUCUCCUGGAUAGGGCAGGCCAGGCGUGCCCUGUGCUUGUAGGAACACGUCCAGGUUGUCGCGCCCCAGCACCGGCUGCCCUCCGGACUCCUCCUGGUGGCUUUGGUGGGCAGUGGAUCUAGGGUGAGCCUGAGCUCUAGAACCCCCCACCCGGGGAGAGACCCUUCAGGGAAGUGCAGCUGCUGCCCCCUGGAUCCUCCUGCCCUCCAGGCUCUCCUGCCCUGCAGGGAUCUUCAAGGGUCCUGGCCCAACAGAAGGUGAAGAAUCCUUUCCCCGUGGUGGGAGGAUGAGGGGGAGCGGGUGGGAAAAUCUUCAAGGGGAAGGGGACGUUUUCAAGAGCUUUCCAGGAUUGUCUGCCUUGGCACUGUCAGGUAGGUGGCUGCCCUGUGAUAAUGGUGCUUGGUCUUAUCUCGUCCUGUCCUUGAGCUUGUCCUGGCUCCCCUCUGAGUCCAAGCAGACACAGGCAACCUGAUUUGUGGUGUGUAUUCAGUUGAGCCCCUUCCCCAAGUGGGGUAGUGACUGAGCUUCUAUUUCCAGGACCCAAGGGGGGCGUGCAAGGACGCUAUUGAUGGGGUUUUGUCCCCCUCACUCUUUUCUUUCUCUGCCUCUGCCCUUCCUUCCUUCUCUUUCUUUUCUUUCUUUUUUUUAAAGAUCAAGAGUCCCAUGCUCUACGGAUUGAGCCAGCCAGGCACCCCUCCUACUUCCUUUCUUGCUGAAUCUGUAACCCGGCAAAACAGACAAACAAAAAACCCUGUUUAGAUGUAGAUAAAUUGCUCUCCGUGCACUCAGGCACAAGGGGAAAACAUCAAGUGGAUAGUAAGGAAUAUGUAAUCUCGAAUACGUUUAAACACUUUAAAGGAUUUUAAUAAUUUACAUAUAAUGGCAUAGAACAUGUUUAUAUCAUGUCAUAUUUCUAAAGAGGACUUUUUGUGUGCAUCCGACUGGUUUAAUAGUUGUGGCCUAAAACUGUUUUAUGUUGUCUUCCAGGUUUUCUAAUAAUAUAGAAAAUAUUGGUAGAUAUAUUCUAGUUUAUACAGGUCUUGGAGUUAUUUUCUCUUCAAAUUCCUGGUGACACUUAGCCACCUAAAUUUCCUAUAUUGGUUUUACUGGCCCAAUAAGCGCACUUCAAUUCCAGUAGUAUUUAAGGAGUUUAUACAAUAUGAAAUUAUGUGUUUCAGUACAUUAAAGAGAUCAUAGAAGAUUUGUAAAUGGAGAGUAAGUCUUAGAAGUCUGGAACUCAUAGUGACUUAAUUAUUCUUACAAUAUUUUGGGGUAAAAGUUUUUAGGUAUUUUAUAUUUUUAUAUUCCACAUGCAUUUCUCCAUUAUGUGUCGAGUCAAUUUGCAAUUUUAAGACCUACUGUUAUCUUUACGUUCUUCCAAUGAUAUUAAACUGAGUUAAUUAAUGUAUCAUCUUAGCCUAGAACUUUUCUAAUUAAGAGAGAAAAAACAAAACACUUUUAAUAUAAUGCUGCUGCACAUAUUUAGACAUCAUAUAGAGUAGCUGUGGGCAACAGGUUCAGAGGAGGUGUGGGGACCUUGAGGAGAUAUUGGUGAGGGUGAAAAACACAUGCAACGUCUGCUCCAGGAAGUAAAGCGCUGUCAGGGAAUGGUAGGGCAACUUUAAAAGAUAUGAGUGAUCAGAGUUCCUGAAAAGACUGGGACUGGGGGUAAAGAAGCAAUUUUUGAGGAGACAGCAACAGAAGGAUUUCCAAUCAUUAUAAUGAUUGUAAACCCACCGAUCCAAGGAGCCGAAUGAACACGACGAAUGAGCACAAGAGACAGGAAGAAAACCGUAUCUAGUCACAUCAUAAUUGUAUUGCUCAAAUCCAUGGAAAGAGAAAACAAAAACAAAAACAACUGUGCAGAAGCACCCAGAGGAAAAAGACAUGGUACGUACAGAACACAAAAGUAAACGUGAUGUCAGUUUUCUCCCCGGAAGCGGUGCAAGUGAGAAGGCAAUGGAGCAGCAUCAAAGUCAAGGUGGAAUUCUAUGCCUCCCCUCCAAAAAAGGCUUUCAGAAAUGAAGGUGAAUGACAUUGGAAGACAUACAAAUGCUGAAAGACUACAUCACCAGCAGACCCACACCACAAGAAAUGUUAAAUCCUCCAGGAAGGACACUGAUACCAGAUGGGAAUCUGCAUGUAGCCAAAUGGAUAAAGGACAACAGAAUGGUAACCGCAUGGGGAAAAACUUAUAUAUAUAUAAAAAAAUAUAUAUAUUAAUAUAUUACAUAUACACACACAUACAUAUAUAUACAUACAUACGCACACACGUAUACGUAUAUAUACAUAUAUGUACACCCACACACAUAUGGUUUUUAAAUUAUUCUUUAAAUCUCUGAAAAAACAUGGAGCAGAUGAAACCAAAGUGAUAACGCUGGGUUUUGGGCUUUCUAACAUGCAAAGUGAAACGCGUGAUAGCUGCAGCCUAAAGGUGGGCAGGGGAGUAAUGGGAAGAGGCAUGGGAUCACUUGGAGGGAAGCUGGCAAGUUACAGAUGUAUAUGUUAUGAAGCCCAAAGCAGUAGCUGAAAUAACAAAAGAAAGAGUGAUAGCCGAUAAGCCCACGGGGCGGAGAAGUCGGAUCAUACAAAAACCAUGUAAACGCUAUGUUAUUAGAGCAAUUGCUCUUCUAGGACUCUACCCUGUAGAAAUGUUGGUACAAGUGACCAAAGAUGUGUACAAGAAUGAGGACUAAAGCAGUGUUUGUAACCAUAAAAUUCUAGAACCAACUUAAUGUAAAGAAUCUAAGGAAGGGGCGAAAUAAAUACUAGCACAAACAAAGGGUGGAAGAAACUGCAUUGUUGGAAGGCAUUCAGAGGGUUCUACUCUUUCGAGGACCUCCGGAUUCCCAGCGACCGGUUCUCCUCCAGAGCUCUCCUGCUCUCAUCCGUGAGGACCUUAGGUCCUCUGGCUGUGCGCGAGUGCCAAACGCUUUCUACGUUCUAGAAAAGAACUACCGCGUCCCUGGGUGGGCUCGAACCACCAACCUUUCGGUUAACAGCCGAACGCGCUAACCGAUUGCGCCACAGAGACCUUCGGGAGAGGAGGCCCCGCCCACAGCCCGAUAGAGAGCACGCAGGCCCUCAACGCUAGGAGGAGCCACCCGCCUUCUGUCUGAGGCCAGCGGCGCCUGAGGGAAGCUGAACGCCGCUGGGCUCCCCGGACGGCUCUUCCCGUUUGUUCCGCCUUCACCCGGCCUUCGGCGGGGCCGCUGGGGCUCCCCUCGGCUGCGGUCGCUGUGGGGGAAGCUGGAGAGCCCGCGGGGUGGGGCGUGGUCCAAAGGGGCAAACGCCGAGAGAGAAGCGGGAAAAGAGAAGCGGGGGAGGCGUGGACGCGGACCACGAGACUUCCUAGGGCGCCUGUGCAGAGCCACCAGCCCAAUCCGGGGACAAGGAGAAUGGUUUUUGAUGGUUUUUCUUCCUCGCGUGUCAGAAUGGAGAAGAAGGGAAGGAGAAUCCAAGGGCGGCCCGCAGUGCUCCGGGAACAGAGCAGCGCGGAAACUGGAAUGACUUUGCGGCAAGAGUGCUCGAGCGCCGGCCAGACUUGUCAUCGGGCUGGUGGCGCGCCGUGAUCGUAUAGUGGUUAGUACUCUGCGUUGUGGCCGCAGCAACCUCGGUUCGAAUCCGAGUCACGGCAGUAUCUGGAGCACUCGCUGUUCCUCUUUUUACUUUGGGUUUCAACCUGCCCCGGCUGCGCCCCUUACCUGGGGGACAGAGAGGGCCCCGCGCUUUCCGCUGGCCACCCCGCGCCACCACGUCUUCACCCGAAGGGAAGGGAAGGAAAACUCGCCACAGCACUAACCUGGCGACCUUCUCCGUUCCGUUGGACUCUGACCUCAAGUCAAAUCAACUAAAGGGCUCAUCUCCAGCGCCGCUCCAAAAUGGCACAGUCCUCGAUGCCCUCUACCUGUCCAGCAAGGAGCCUCAUAUGGUGGGCUCUAGUUGCUGCCAAACGGCGUCUCUGUGGCCCUCAAAAUCUAAAGGGUCUGAAAGACCACACAAAAGGUUCCAUCACCUAGGUGACACCUCCUCCAUAGACCUGUUUGUCGGCUUGAACCUUGGCCCCUGCGAAUCAAUCUCUGCCUCCGCGGACUUUUUCCAUUCUUGGCUCUCUAUGAUCCUCCUUAACCGUCCUCACGGUGAGCUCCCUCCGUUACUUGCGGUGCGCUCGCAAGGCUUUUAAAUGCCUUCGGGCAGCCGCUUUCCACGCCAAAAGGUAUUCAUCGGGAUACCACCUGGAGUUGUGGUCGUGCCACAUCUUUGUCAAGAGUGGGGGUGUCCCUCUCUUUAUCAUGUUGCCGUGCUGCUGGGAGUAGUGCUAUCUCAAUGUGACUUUAGUAUCCAUUUCUCUGAGGGCUGAAAAUAUUGAGCACUCUUUUACGUGCUACGUCGGCCUUGUGUAUCUUCUUUUCCCGAGGAUCUGUUUCAUGUCUUUUACCCAACUAAAACACUUGAGUUGUUUGAUUUUUUCUUUUAAUUAGCAGUUUGGGGGAGCUCCUCACACAUUAUGAUGACAGGUUAGGGGGUUUGUAUGCUUUCUCCCUUGCUUGCUUGCUUGCUUGCUUGUUUUGUCAGAUGGGUUUUGUGAACACGUUCUCCCUGUCUGUCGCUUGCUGUUUUCAUCGUCUUCCUGGGGUCUUUGGAUGAGAAGAUAUGGUUAAUGUUGAUGAAGUCUAGGUUAUCAUGUCUUUUCUUUUAGACGCAUUUUCCCCCUGGGUCUUGUUUACUAAAUCUUUGCCUACCACCUAGUCACAAAGUGUCCUCAAAAAGUGAUUUAUACCUUUACCUUUUAUGUUUUAUGAGGCACCUCCAAUUAACAUUUGUGUGUACUGUGAGGUGGAAAUAAAGCUGUUUCCCUCUCCCCUCCCCCCCCCCCCAUAUUGAACCUAUUUCCUUUCUCCGUUGAACUGCUCUUCUUGAAAACGAAUUCACCAGGUCACCUGUGGGUCCAUUUGUCUGUGUGUGUCUCCCGAUGCCACUGGCACAUUGCACGGUACUAUAGGGGCUCAGAGUAAGUCUUCAAGUCCGGUAGUGUAAGCCACACCACCCACACAACCACCCGUUUUGUUCUUUUUCACACAGCGCAAUACACUUGAGACGUGUAACAACUCAUGUAACCAACACGCAGGUCCAGACAUGCCGUCACUUCAUCCCGCUCACUUCCGUGUGGGACACAGGAUUCCCUCCCCCCCCCCCCCCCCGACGUAGCGGUUACCCCCCGGUGGUCAAAGAUCCUCUGAUGUACCCCACCCUCCGGGGAGAAGGAAUCUCCAGUUGUCUGCGGGGCCGCUGAACAGGCCAAAUGUCCGGUGGGCACGCUGCAGGGGCAGCAGGCUGUAGGGCGGGGCGGGACCCGGAAUCCAGUCGUUCAGGGCCGCCGGGUCUUCCUUGAAAGCCGUCUCGGUCCGCGCGCCGCCUCCGUUGCUGCGUCCCUCGGAGUCCUUUGGGGGAUGUUGAGGACCGCGGGGUCUCACGCCGGGCGGGGUCCGCCCCUCGCGCCUCCUCGCGGCGACCUCGCAUCCGCACGCGUCCGCCUCGCGAAGGCGAGACUCCCGGGCAGCUCUGGGGUGCGGCCCGGACCCGGCCACUUGUGGACCUGCCAGCCCUCGGCGUCUCCUGCGGGCUCUUGCUUUGGAGAGAGCGAGGAGGGAAGGUCCUUAGGGAAGGACUGCUGGGAGGAUGGAUGAGCUCCCAGAAAGCCCGAGGCCUUCCAGAGCUCAGGGGGAAACUGUCACUCUGGUGGGAAGCAAGGAGAAGAAAGGGCUCCGUCGGUUCCCUGGUGGUCUAGUGGCUAGGAUUCGGCGCUUUCACCGCCGCGGCCCGGGUUCGAUUCCCGGUCAGGGAAGCGGGGCAUUUUUUUUUUUUUUUUUUUUUUUGCUUUUGGUUUUGUAGGUUGGUUGUUGGGUUUUGGUUUUUCGGUUUUUUUGGUGCCCCAAUCUUCCUUUCAUCCCCGGAGCUGUGCUGGCCGUCAUCUGCGCUGCGCACCGCACCGACUCUUCCUUCACCUUCAGCGCUCCGGGGAAAGGACGCCAGGCCGCUCUACACGGCUCACUGUGCUUGCUGGGCUCCAAGUCAGCCUCCCCCAGGAGUGGCCUCAGAGGGCGACUAAGCAUCUGGCUUGGGUUCACACUGUCGUGCAGAGGUUCAGAUUCCUGUGGGGCCGCCCCAGGGACGCAGAUCCGACCGAGUUCUGGAGGCCAAGCACGUCGCGGUGUUGCUGUGGACCCCUGGACACCGGCUGGUGGGCCGAGCCUCUCAGCUCAGUCCGCGCAUAAAAGGCUUACUUGGCGUUUGGGAGAGGUGCCUGGACGCGAUACCCUCCCGGCCUGAGAGGCAGGGGAGGGGAGCGGGGGGAGGGGAACGGGUCCUCCUGGAAGUCUGUCCCAUUCGCAGACUAAGCGGUCUAGCGAGGUGAUGUUAAGUGACCCAACAAAGGCAGCAUGUCAAGUGCGCACAAAAUGGAAAACUGUUGUCGCGGCCGUAAGCCGGGGUAGGAGUGAGGAUCAACACCAGGAUGUCAAAACGAUGACAUCACAGUCAAAUCCGUUUCUACAAGGGCUGUUGCAUUUAACGCCCCCGUAGACUCUAUACACCAGGCCCUGGGCACGUUUUCCUUUUUCCCUUCGAUGCCGGCUCCGAAGACCUGUUGGGGUACAUGCGAUGCCCACUGUGAGGCACGAGGAGAGCGAGCGAGGCGUUGUCAAACCGAGGGCCAGAAUUACCUUCUCUCCCUUUUGUUUGUACUCACACCCCGGGCUCAUGCACAGGGUGGCAUCAAGUGACCGCUUUUUAAGAGACAUCGCCUGGACGAAACAUGGACGGUGUGUUGGAGGUGCAGAAUAUAACCUGGUGGGCAAGAGGCACCGCAUGGUUCUCACAGGGUUCCCUUCUCUAGCGUGUCACUCCAAGAGGUGCGGGAUUUUUAAAUUCAUCCCUGCCAUCUGGGUGAUGCUGAAGGCAUAGUUUUCAAAGUCAGAAAAUACAAUCUAUUUCAUGUUGGUUUAAGAGGUGCUUUUGGUGUGUGUGUGUGUGUGUGUGUGUGUGUUUCCUUAAGCUCAGUUGGUACCUUUAAAAACAUAGAGCCUAAAGGCAGAUGGCAAGCUUGCAGGUGCCAGCACAAAAAGUGAAAAUAGAGGCAUCAAAGCUCCUUACGUUCCUAGGUGGAUUGCCAAGAUAGCUUCUUUUGUCUUCUGUUCGGGGACCUUGAGAGUGAGGAACACGGAAGACACAGACGCUUUCAGUCCCAGGCUCACUUGAGAAGUAUUAGAGGAGGUCCCCACUACAUUAAGGUGGGACCCUAAAGUUCUAAGCCCUUGGGGGUAGGAGUGAUGCCAUCUAGUCCUGCUGCAUCACUCCUACCCCUGCAAGUCCCGGGGCUCUUUGGACAAGGAAGGCAGCCUUGGCUCUACAAGCAGUAUAAGGAAAAGGAAAGUUUAAAAAGCCCAUGAGAAUGAAUGAAUGAAUGAAUGAAUGAGCGAGCGAGCAAGCAAGCAAGCAAGUGGUGGCUGGCUGGCUCACCGGGUAGGGCAGGUGACUCCUGAUCCUCGGGGUUGUAAGUUACGGCCCCACAGAGGUUACUUAAAAAUAAAAUCUUUAAAAGUACAAUAAAAUAGGGGCAUCUGGGUGGCUCAGUCAGUUGAGCGUCCGACUUUGGCUCAGGUCAUGAUCUCACAGUUUGUUGGUUCAAGCCUCAUGUCGUUCUUUGCACUGACAGUGUGAGAGGCCUGUUUAGUAUUCUCUCUGUCUCCGUCUCUGCCUCUGUCUCUCUCUCAAAAAUGAAUACACAUUUAAAAACAAAAUAAAGUAGAAUAAAAUAAAAGGCCCAUGAGGAAACUGUGGCCAUGGGCCUGACCUCUAGUGGAUUUAGCCUUGAGUACACAUAGCCUGGGUAGUCUGGGAAGCCUUAGGACGCCAAGUUGGUGUGGUCUGUUCCCUAGCCAGUAACAAACCCCAAGGGCCUGCCACAGGGGAAUAUAUUCAAAGGAGAAUGUACUCAUCCGAGGGCUGUAGAGGGCUAUAGAGGUACCUACCUUCCAAUAACACUUCCAGAGAAUCAGCUAGCAUCUAGAACUCAGUUAUAAGACAUAAGAACAAAAUCUCAUGGAUCUAGAUCCAUGAAUCUCAGAAUCUCAAAAUCUCAUGGAUCUAGAUCUCAGAAUCUCAUGGAUCAAUCCUCGUAUCAAAUCAGUCAUGAAGAUGGAAAUUAGGAAAUAUUCUGAGUCAAACAAAACUGAAAAUACUGCAUCUCCUGCACAAGGUGUGGUGAAACCAGUCUUCAGGGGACAAUACACAGCCUUAAGUGUAAAUCGAGACAGUUAGGGCUGAUUGCUAAUGAGCUAAAUCUCCAUCUCAAAGAGUUACAGAAAGAAUAACAACAACAAGGGCAGGUAGGAGCAGAAAUUAUAUACAAAAGCAGGACUUUGAAAAUAAGAAACAAAGUUAAAAAAUAAAUACAAAGAAAAAAGAAAAUUAGAAAUAAAUAUACAAAAGAGAAAAGUCAAUGGUUGGAUCUUUGAAAAACACUACUCCGGUAAAACUGGGAGGAGGGAAGAAGGAAGUCACUACUACUGAACUGGUAGACUUAAGGAAACAAUAAAUGGAUAUUAUAAACACAUAUAUACCAACCAAUUAAAAGGCUUAAGGGAAAUGUAUGUCUUGUAGUAAUGAUUUGCGCGGAGGGCGGGGGGAGGACUAGUCCUACAACCUUAAAAAAAAUUUUUUUUUUUAGAAUUCAAAAAUCUUCCUGCAAAGAAAGCUGAAGGACCAAAAAAGUUCAUUCGAAAAAAUGACUCCAACGCCCAGAAAUUUUAAAAGCGUCAAAAGAUCGCAGAAUUCCCCAACUUAUUUUUAUGAGUUUGGAUUGAAACCAAAAACUUCCCAAAAGGCAACAUGAAAAACAGAAUUACAGGCCUGACUUAUUGCUGAGUAUACAUAGCUACAAACAUUCUUCAAAAUAUUGAAUCUAGCUAGCUAGCUAGGUAGCUAAUGUUUAUUUUUGAGAGAGAGAGAGAGAGAGAGAGAGAGAGAGAGAGAACACGGGUGGGGGAGGGGCAGAGAGAGAGGGAGACACAGAAGGCACAGAGCCCGAGCAGGGCUGGAACCCACCAACCCUGAGAUUAUGAGCUGAGCUGAAGUCGGACGCUUAACCAACUGAGCCACCCUGGACUCCCUGAUUCCAGAUGUAUAUUUAAAAAUAUGUAUGACAAAAAUUGGUCUUAAUCUAGGAAAACAGUUGAUUAUCAUUAGAAAAUAAAUUAAGGGGCACCUGGGUGGCUCAGUCGGUUAAGUGCCCCACUCUUGAUUUCAGCUCAGGUCAUGAUCUCAGGGUUUGUAACAUAGAACCCGAGUUGGGCUCUGUGCUCACAGCUCGCAGUGCUGAGCCUGGUUGGGAUUCUCUCUCUCCCUCUCUCUCUCUCUGCCCUUCCCCUGCUCCCACGUGCUCCUGUUCAACCGCUCUCUCUCUCUCUCUCUCUCUCUCUCUCACUCUCUC